rnacentral:rRNA from 1 species
UGCCAGCAGCCGCGGUAACACGGGGGGCGCAAGCGUUAUUCGGAAUUAUUGGGCGUAAAGGGCGCGCAGGCGGCCAGGUAAGUCGAAUGUGAAAGCCCCCGGCUCAACUGGGGAAGGUCAUUCGAUACUGCUUGGCUUGAAGAUGGGAGAGGGAAGCGGAAUUUCCGGUGUAGUGGUGAAAUGCGUAGAUAUCGGAAGGAACACCAGUGGCGAAGGCGGCUUUCUGGCCCAUUCUUGACGCUGAGGCGCGAAAGCUAGGGGAGCGAACGGGAUUAGAUA